AAACAGAAGGGGAGGUGCAGUUUCAGAACCCAGCCAGCCUCUCUCUUGCUGCCUAGCCUCCUGCCGGCCUCAUCUUCGCCCAGCCAACCCCGCCUGGAGCCCUAUGGCCAACUGCGAGUUCAGCCCGGUGUCCGGGGACAAACCCUGCUGCCGGCUCUCUAGGAGAGCCCAACUCUGUCUUGGCGUCAGUAUCCUGGUCCUGAUCCUCGUCGUGGUGCUCGCGGUGGUCGUCCCGAGGUGGCGCCAGCAGUGGAGCGGUCCGGGCACCACCAAGCGCUUUCCCGAGACCGUCCUGGCGCGAUGCGUCAAGUACACUGAAAUUCAUCCUGAGAUGAGAAACAGCUAAAAGAAGUGAGUUGGGCCAGGCACUGUGGCUCACACCUGUAAUCCCAGCACUUUGGGAGGCCCAGGCAGGUGGAUCACUUAAGGUCAGGAGUACAAGACCUGCCUGGCCAACAUGCUGAAACUCCGUCUCUACUAAAAAUACAAAAUUAGCCGGGUGUUGUGGCGCGUGCCUGUAAUCCCAGCUACUCUGGAGACUGAGGUGGGAGAAUCGCUUGAACCCAGGAGGAGGAGGUAGCACUGAACCAAGAUCCAGCCUGGCCAAGAGAGUAAGACUCCGUCUCAAAACCAAACCAAACCAAACCAAAAAAAGAAGUGAGUUGGCACUUUCAACAUUCUGCCUGGAAAUCUCCUUACCAAACCUAUAAGAUCAUUAGGUAUAUUUUCUGCACUUUGUAUUGUGACAGGUGACAGUGUUACCAAACUUUUUACCAGGACAUAAUAGGGUCUGCCUUUCUUCUAGUUGCUAACAAUUUCCCCCAAGUCCAUCUUGCCUGCACUAACAGUCUCCUUUAGACCUCUCCUCUCCUGCCUGUCACACAUUCCUAGUACUAAUGCUACAGUAUAGUAGUAAGGGUCUCCAGAGAAACAACAUUUAUAUAACAUAAUAUAAAUACAUUAAUAGAGAGAAAGAGAUUUUAAGAAAUUGGCUUAUAUCAUUGUGAAGUCGGGCAAGCCCCAAAUCUGCUGGACAGGCCAGCAGCCUGGAGACCCAGGGAAGAGUUGAUGUUGCAGCUGGAGUCCAAAGGCAGUCUCUGGCAGAAUUCUCUUUUACUUCUGGGACCUUGGUCUUUCUCUUAAGGCCUUCAACUGAUUGGAUGAGGCCCACCACAUUAUGAAGGGUAACAUGCUUUACACCGAGUCUCCUGACUUAAAAUCUAAAAAAUACCUUCACAUCACAACUAGAUGUGUUUGACCAAAUAUCUGGAUACCAUGCCUGGGCGAAUUGCCACUUAAAAUUAAUCAUCACGUACAUGUUUUAAGGUUUUGUUACACAAGACCUCACUUCCAAGUAUCACUUUCUGUUUUGGUCAUCAGUUGCUGCAUAAUAAACAACCACCCUAAAAUUUAGUGACUUAAAACAACAAUCAUUUAUUGUCUGCCAUGGUUCUGUGGUUUGACUGGGAUCAGCUGAGUGGCCUGUUUCACUUGGUGUCAGCUGGGGGUGUAGGCAUCUGCAACAUUGUCUUGGCAGGAACAUCCAAGAUGUCCCACUUAACACGAUGGCUCCUGGGCUCAGCUGGGCUGGUCAGGCCUCCCUUCCUCUCUGUGUUGCCACACGGCCUCUCUCUAUCCAUGUGGCCUCUCCAUAUGGUCUCUCCCUGGUGGAGGUGAAUUUCUUCAAGGUUUCUAAACUCUCAAAAGUGGAGCCUGGCAAGCCCACUCAAAGCUUCAGAUCCACAACUGGCACAGCUUCCCUUCCACAGAUUCUAUAGGUUAAAACAAUCACCGGACCAGCCCAGAUUCAAAAGAAGGAGAAACAAACUCCACCCCUCCAUGGAGGAAGUAGCAAAAAUAAUGUAGACAGUUUUUACCCUUUACAUCUGGAUUUGUUAGCUUUUCUGUUUUCAUUUUCUUCUGGUCUUUCUUUUGUCCUUCUCUUACACUUAUUUUAUUACCUUUUAUCAAUUAGCUUUUAAGAUGAUAAAAAUCUAAUACAUGCCUCCUGGAAUGUCUUCUUGAGCCUAGGGACUUUUGUUUAAUGAUAUAUCUUGAGGACCUAGAAUAGUGCCUGAAAUACAAUAGUCAUUAAAUAUUUAGCUGAAUUAAAUGAAUGGUAUAUAAGCCAGGGUAUUAAAAAUAACAUAAACAAAGUUGUAAUAAAUAUACUUCCCCAGUGAACGACCUAAUACCAUUACUCCCCAAACCCUCAAUUUCUGUCUUGAGCAUAGAAACUGUUAAUUUUUCCUUUGUGUAGUAGGUCCUUAGUAUUUCUUUAGAGGUUGUAGCACUUUAUCUUCCUCACUGUUCCUUUUCCUUGGUUGUCCUUUUCCAAACAUCUCUCAACAAUUUCUCCCAAGUCCAUCUUGCCUGCACUAACAGUCUCCUUUAGAACUCCCCUCUCCUGCCUGUCACACAGUCUUAGUAAUAGUGCCACAGUAUAGUAGUAAGGGUCUCCAGAGAAACUCACUUUCUGCAAGUUUUUUAGUGUGGGUAGGUGAGUAUUGAAGCUUGUUCUUGGCGUUACCAGGUUGGUUCUUUGAGUUGAACCAGGGGCAUUACAUGCGGAAUAUUCCUGAACAGAUCACCUCUGGUUCUGCUGUCUCAAGGGCCACACACAAGAGCUGCCUUCUGACCAAGAUGUCUCUGGGCACAUGAGACCUGAAAUACACAUGGCCAAGACUCAACAAAGCGUUUGCUGACUGUCAGAGCUGACAGCAUCUCGGUACUGUGGGAGGGAGCCCAGUGUCUGGUGAUAGUCAGGACGGACCCAGGUGAUGUCAGGGGUGGGGUGGGGCCUGCAGGAGGGAAUGGAGAGCCAGCACCUAGGGGAAGCUGGGAAUUUAGGAAGAUAUCCAGAGAGUGUAACUUCAGUUCCACUAAUCUCACCUGGGUGAAAACCAGCCCUCUCCAUGGAUGAUGGUGAUUGCAGGUACUGACGAUAGCUGCAGACUGCUGGUGGUCUAGGCAAGCAUGCAGGGAUGGGAGCAGGCAUUUCUGAGAGCUCCCCUUAUCCCUGCCCCAAGACAAGGUGGGGGCCCUGUGGGGAAGGACUAUUUUAUUCACUUCUGCAUCUCCAGUUGUCUAACACAUUGCUUAUCACCUAACAGUCUCUUAAUAGAAGCUUGCUAUAUUGAGCUGCCUUGAGUCCACAUCAUGCUGGUUGAACAUAAGUAGAAAUUGUGGGAGACUUAAUCAGAGAAAAUCUUUCAUCUGUCUUACCUUACGUUCUAAUGAUCACUUCUGUGCCCACAAGGACCAUCUUUUCUGAUUCAUGUUCAUGUCGAUUUCUUUUUUAUUUAACUUCCUCUUCAAAAUUUCUGGCAGGAUUUCUUGGGAGCCAAUUCUCCAUUUUUACUUCCCCAUGCCUCCCAUUUUAAUGACUGUAGGAUUUUCUCAGGGUCUACUCAGCAAAACUUGUUAGUACAACAUGAGCAAAACAGCAAAUUUAUGCAAACACUUAGCAAAGACUUAGCUGUCUGCCUAAUGCUAGGGUGAGACAUGGGAGAUUCACAAAUGAAGAAACACAAGCAUUGAUCUCCAGGAUCCUGCAGUGGGAGGUAUGCGGAGGACCAACCUGGGAACAGAGCAACGCAACACCAUGUGAUCUGUAAUGAAAAAGAGGCCUGUACACAGCCAAGAGGUCACUGAGGAAGGAGCCAUUGCUUCUGUGCAGUUAGUGCUGCGCUAGAUUCUGCAGGGAUGUAAGAAAUGUACCCCUAUCAAACAAGAAAGACUAUGUGAAUUGCUGAAUAUGUGAGUGGAGUACCAGCACAAUGCCAUGGAGAUGCAGACGUGCCCCAUGUGGUGGGGCAGAGUCAGGAAGCACUUUAAGAAAGAAAUAGCAUUUCAGGUCUUCCUUUAAAGGUAGAAUUUCAACAAGAGGGUGCUCUGGAGAGUGUGUGUUACCCUGCUGAGAAAAUCCUGGCGGUCAGGUAAGAUGCUACUGCCAGGGAAGAUUGGCCAAUUGAUUGACUAAACCCUUAAAGGUUUGGGGAUCUUGGGGAGGAUUCUGCUGGUGAGAGGGUCUGGACUUCCUCUUGGUCUGUCCACAGCUGGACCUUCUCAGCACACAAGAGACUAUGAGGGUGACCAUUUUGCACAGGACAGAAUUCCAGCAUGUUUUUCCCCUGGAGUGAUGGAAUGACCACCUGCUCAACAUCAGUGUCCUCACUGAGACCAUGAGAUUCAGUAGAGUGCUGGAAAGCUUCAUGCUUACCUGUGUCUUCUUAAUGCUUAGUGUUAUGAUUGAAGGCUUCCUUCAGUCCUACCUUUUGUUCUGGGGUUCUAAGAAUCUUAGGUGCAGGCGAGGCACGGUGGCUCACACCUGUAAUCCCAGCAUUUUGGGAGGCUGACGUGGGUGGAUGACGAGGUCAGGGGAUUGAGACCAUCCUGGCAAACAUGGUGAAACCCCGUCUCUACUAAAAAUACAAAAAUUAGCCGGGUGUGGUUGCGUGCACCUGUAGUCCCAGCUACUCAGGAGGCUGAGGCAGGAGAAUCGCUUGAACCUGGGAGGCGGAGGUUGCAAUGAGCUGAGCUCACGCCACUACACUCCAGCCUGGGUGACAGAGCAAGACUCUGUCUUAAAAAAAAAAAAUCUCAGGUGCACCUGAGACAGAUUGAAUGUGGAAGGGGAAGUGAAACAGGCCUUCCAGGUGUGGGGCCUGGGUGCUGCUAUAGUUACAAAUGGGGAAGUGAGACUAUAGGUCUCAGUUACCUGUGGAAGGAAGGGUAGAGUGGAGUACUUACGCAAAUUAGCUAAUUCUGGGAGCUUGGGGUGCUACCAGGGUAUCAGGGAGAAUACAGCCAGGGAAUAGAAUCUUCUUGAAGCAAAGGCUGUUUGGAAGCCCCCAGAGUGGAUGAAAAGGCUCAGUGGGAAACAACAGAUAUCAGGAGAGGGAGAAGAAGAUACCUAUUUCUAUACCUUUUGGCCUUGUGUUUUGCUUCAGACACUGUUCCCAGCAAGGUCAGUGGAACCCACUGCUCAAAACACACACUUGCUCCUUGUUCUGGUGUCAUAAUAGCUCUGCAAGCAGUGGUGGUGUUCAGCCUGGAGAACGUUCCUUUUCUUUUUUUUUUUAUCACAAUAAACACUCAUGGCUUCUCUGCUUCUUCCUUUCUUCUUUGUCUUAGGACUCUUGAAAAACAGCUGCCAAAUGUCAGUUUAGAUAUUUUGGAGGGAAAAAAGUUGGGAAUCAAUGUUUACAGGUUGCCUGCAAUGUGCUGGAAACUACAUAGUUGGUUCUUUUUAAACUUUCUCUGAAUCCUGUCAGGAAAGUUCCAGCAAUCACAUCUUAGUGGGUCCGGAAUUCGUGGGUUCUUGGUCUCACUAACUUCAAGAAUGAAGCUGUGGACCCUCGUGGUGAGUGUUACAGUUCUUAAAGGUGGUGUGUCCAGAGUUUGUUCCUUCUGGUGUUGGACAUGUUCGGAGUUUCUUCCUUCUGGUGGGCUCGUGGUCUCGCUGGCUUCAGGAGUGAAGCUGCAGACCUUCACGGUGAGUGUUACAGCUCUUAAGGCAGCGCGUCUGGAGUUGUUCGUUCCUCCCAUCUGGAGUUGUUCGUUCCUCCUGGUGGGUUCAUGGUCUCACUGUGCUCAGGAGUUAAGCUGCAGACUUUCGUGGUGAGUGUUACAGCUCAUAAAAGCACUGUGGACCCAAAGAGUGAGCAGCAGCAAGAUUUAUUGCAAAGAGCAAAAGAACAAAGCUUCCCCAGUGUAGAAGUGUAGAACGGGACGCCAAUGGGUUGCCAGUGUUGGCUCCCCCCAGCCUGCUUUUAUUCCCUUAUCUGGCCCCACCCACAUCCUGCUGAUUGGUUCAUUUUACAGAGGGCUGAUUGGUCUGUUUUACAGAGAGCUGAUUGGUCCGUUUUGACAGGGUGCUGAUUGGUGCAUUUACAAACCUUGAGCUAGACACAAAGUGCUGAUUGGUGUGUUUACAAACCUUGAGCUAGACAUAGAGUGCUGAUUGGUGUAUUUACAAUCCCUUAGCUAGACAUAAAGAUUCUCUAAGUCCCUAGUAGAUUAGCUAGACACAGAGCACUGAUUGGUGCAUUUACAAACCUUGAGCUAGACACAGGGUGCUGAUUGGUCCGUUUACAAACCUUGAGCCAGACACAGAGUGCUGAUUGGUGUAUUUACAAUCCCUUAGCUAGACAUAAAUGUUCUCCAAGUCCCCACUAGACUCAGAAGCCCAGCUGGCUUCACCUAGCCGAUUGUGCACCAAGUCAGCAGGCGGAGCUGCCUGCCAGUCACCUGCUAUGCACCCGCACUCCUCAGCCCUUGGACGGUGGAUGGGACGCCAGGGAGCAGGGCGCGGUGCUCGUCGGGGAGGCUCCAGCGGCACAGGAGCCCACGGCAGGGAGGGUGGGGGGAGGCUCAGGCAUGGUGGGCUACAGGUCCCAAGCCCUGCCCCGCGGGGAGGCAGCU
rnacentral:lncRNA from 10 species